UACAUCCACACCUGCCUGGUCCACUCUCCACCCAUAGUGAGUCAGUGUGCAGUGCCCAGCGCUAUCAGACAGAGUACCACGUAUUAACAGUGUUAGAUAGGUUGGCCUCCAGCUGAAGGAGCGUGACCAAGACAUCUAUCACCAUUCAUGGAAGGAUUAAUUGGCAGAAGCCAAGUCACCUUCGACGAGAGCCAUGUCAACAUCAAACUCCCCAACAGAUGUAGACGGUGCAACACAUACAAUGAGGACCCUGAUGCCCCCACUCUGAGAGAAAGCUUCAUCAUUCUACUGAGAAAGAUGACACAGUCGCUGGGUAAUGUCUGCUUCCUGUUGAUCCUGGUCCUACCUUACUUGGCCCUGACAGUGGUGUCUCUGCUUCUGCUCCUCCUGGCUGGGUACAACACCAUUGCCAUCGCUCUCUUCCUCAGUGGCCUCUUUCUCCUCCUGGUCUGGGUGUGUGUAGUUCAGUACUUCGGGCGUCGCUACUCAUGGGUUUACUCUGCUGAACAGGACCUUCUUGAACUCAACGUGGCUGGAGUCAUAUAAAGUACAUGUACUGAGGACUACACGUGUUAAUUAAAGUCUAGCUGUGUUUGGAUAUGUUAAUCCAGAACUACAUCAACUAGGCAGGACUUUAAGGUGUAUUUGGGUUUACUGGAUGAUGUGAUAAAAACGUACCAUAACGUCCUCCUCUGCAUACCACACUGUUUGCAACAAAAUGUUGCUCUCGGAGGAACACACUCCUCGCUGAGUGUUAUAUCUAACACCCUCCAGUGGUUCUUACAGUUAUCUUGCAUGAUAUACUCACAGCUUUCAUAUCCUUUCCAAAUUAAUCAAUUUUUCUCGAGCCAAAAGUGUUAUGCACAAAUUGCCUUUAUAUUUUUUCUGCUAACAACCACAAGUGCUGAAUUACAAAAACCAGUGACGUAGUCUGAGACGUAGACCAACACCGUCACUAUUGACAAUUUCGCAUACUGUAUAUGAAUCAUUUGAAGAUCCUCCCACUUCCCCCAGAUGAUGUUGGGAGGUUAAACUUCAGGUGAGACAUACUGGGGGCAACAUUUCCUGUGAACUAUUAUAUAAAAAGAAACAUGCUUCCUUACUAUUGUGUCAGACAGUUGUAGACCAUGGCACACGAUACUUACCUUCUUACCUUUGUUGUUUGAGGAUCUCUUGCCAGUGAUUAAAUAGCUUCAACAACAUCGACUUCUAAAUUGUGAAUACAUUGUCAAAGUUGUCAUAAUCAGAUACUCUGGAAGAAGCAUUCCAAAAAUAAGGAUGGCUUGGAUGGAAAUGCCAGACCAAAGACUGUCAGAAGUUCAAAUUCACAGCUUCCACAUGUAACAGAUCUCUUUAUUCUUUGUCCUAUGUAAUACUUCAGAAAUAGGUCCAACCGUCCAUACAAUAAUGCUAUCUAUGGAGGGAACAUAUCGGUGACUUAAGCCGUUAUGUAAACAUUUCCAAGAAAACUAUGAUUGAUUGCUAGUUCUUUUCAAGUAGUAUGAACGAGGUAUUUUAAAUCAAAUCUAAUCCAAUUUAUGAGUCCUGAAAUUAUCGUGAAAAUUAAAAAAAUAAAAAUUUUCAUAAGCCGAAGCAUCAUCAGGACGGGCACCCACAUAUUCCUGAUCUUUACCCAUCCUGUGCAGUCACUUGUUGUCAAGCUGCAAAGGCUAUGGGGGAGUUGUCAAGUAAUGUGGAAUGUGAUGUAAAUUCUGAGACACAGCAGCGCUUCCUGCCACCCUGGUGGACAGUUCCCUUAGACAUCACAACACCCACGCACCCGCCAAAACGACUGACCACACAUAAUCCUUAUCUCCAACACACUGCAAAAGUGAGAGCACUUGACCACACACAUAACCUACAGACUGAAAAUAACAUCAUACAAACCAUCUACACUGACGGCUCUCUUAACACUGUCUGUGGGAGGGAUGGAAGUGCUGUCAUUGUGACUCAG
rnacentral:lncRNA from 1 species